GGUGACGUGGUCUAGCGGUAUGAUUCUCGCUUAGGGUGCGAGAGGUCCCGGGUUCAAGUCCCGGCGUCGCCC
rnacentral:tRNA from 2 species